GGUUAAGUUAGGGGAACAUGGAGAAAAUUGACGUUGAAUUUGAGGGAUGUUUUCAAAUUUUUUUCUUGGUGGGAGACCGGGUCGUGCACCUUGCCUGGGGAAAACGGAGAUUGUGAGAGAACGGAAGGAGAUGGGAUGAUGGUUAAGGUAGCGUUGGAAAGUAGAAAGGUUGGGCUAUUUUUUGGUAUGAGGUGAGCUAGGUUAAGUUAGGGGAAUGUGGAGAAAAUUGACGUUGAAGUUGAGGGAUGUUUUCAAUUUUUUUUUCUUGGUGGGACGGUAAGCCAUGCACCUUGCUUGGGGAAAACGGAGAUUGUGAGAGAAUGGAUGGAGAUGGGAUGAUGGUUAAGGUAGCGUUGGAAAGUAGAAAGGUUGGGCUAUUUUUUGGUGUAAGGUGAGCUAGGUAAAGUUGGAGGAAAGUGGAGAAAAUUGACGUUGAAUUUGAGGGAUGCUUGAAUUUUUUUUUCUUGGUGGGAGACCGAGCCAUGCACCUUGCCUGGGGAAAACGGAGAUUGUGGGAAAACGGAAAGAGGUAAAGAGAAUCCGAAAGUAGCGUUAGAAAGUAGAAAGGUCAAGCUAUUUUUUGGUGUAAGGCGAGCUAGGUUAAGUUAGCGGAAAGUGGAGAAAAUUGAGGUUGAAUUUGAGGGAUUUUUCAAUUUUUUUUUCUUGGUGGGAGUGUGAGCCAUGCACC